rnacentral:rRNA from 1 species
UACGUAGGUGGCAAGCGUUGUCCGGAAUUAUUGGGCGUAAAGCGUGCGUAGGCGGAUCAGUCAGUCUGUUUUAAAAGUCCGGGGCUUAACCCCGUGAUGGGAUGGAAACUGCUGAUCUAGAGUAUCGGAGAGGAAAGUGGAAUUCCUAGUGUAGCGGUGAAAUGCGUAGAUAUUAGGAAGAACACCAGUGGCGAAGGCGACUUGCUGGACGAAAACUGACGCUGAGGCACGAAAGCGUGGGGAGCAAACGGG